CGUAGGGUGCGAGCGUUAAUCGGAAUUACUGGGCGUAAGGCGUGCGCAGGCGGUUUGUUAAGAUAGGCGUGAAAUCCCCGGGCUCAACCUGGGAACUGCGCUUAUGACUGGCAAGCUAGAGUACGGCAGAGGGGGUGGAAUUCCACGUGUAGCAGUGAAAUGCGUAGAGAUGUGGAGGAACACCAAUGGCGAAGGCAGCCCCCUGGGUCGAUACUGACGCUCAUGCACGAAAGCGUGGGUAGCAAACAGGAUUAGAUACCCUGGUAGUCCACGCCCUAAACGAUGUCAACUAGGUGUUGGAUGGGUAAAACCAUUUAGUACCGGAGCUAACGCGUGAAGUUGACCGCCUGGGGAGUACGGCCGCAAGGUUA
rnacentral:rRNA from 1 species